UUGGAUAAGCAUAAGGUCAAAUGAGGUUUUCCAUUUUUCUCUCUGUUGUACUGAAGACAGCUGCAUCCAUACAGCUAACUUAGCACUCCAGGGCGGGCUGAGCAGGUAGACUCCCUGUUCCCCUUGCCAGUGGCAGUUGUGAAUAACUGUAGAAAGGCUGGCAGCCUUGAAAAUUCCCUGCAGAGAACAUGAAAUCAACAUAUAGACAAAAUGCAGAAGAAAAUUUCAAUUAUGGAAAAGAGAGUAAAUAUUUUCAAGUUUGGCCUUUUUAAGGACACAUUGUCAAAUGUCAGUGCUCUGGAGAGAAGUUGGUUGUUUCUCAUUCUUUGUUGGUUUUGAAUAAAUCUGCUAUAAAUAUUUGUGUUGAGAUUUCUUGUGCGUGUACACAUAAGCAUUCCAAUCAGCUGUACAAUACUUAGGAGCAUAGUUCCUAGAUAGCAUGCUAAGACUAUGUUUAUAUUUGUAAGAAAAAAAAAAGACCACCAAAUUGUCUUCUAAAAUGUAUCAUUGCGACAAAAGAUUCUUACUCUAUUAAGAAUGUAUAAAGUAUAAUCUCAUUAAAGAUUAGGGAAAAGAUACUGACUUAGGUAACCUGGAAAUGAGUGGAGUCUGUAAAACUAAACGCAAAAGAACUGCACAUAAGCACUAAACUCUAGUAGGAAAUGUUGUUCCCUACAUGGGUACAGGCUAAGGAUUAUGAAACCGCGACACAUAUACACUGAAAUUUAACAGUUAGGUAAAUGGAG
rnacentral:lncRNA from 1 species